rnacentral:lncRNA from 13 species
CUAAAGAGUCUGUUUUUUAUUUAACAGGUUUUUAUGUAACACAUACAUUGGGGAAGCCCAGUGUUAAGCCUGGUUUAUUCUGAUAAUUUAUCCUAAAGCAGAAAAAGAAAAAAAGAAGAGAAAAAAAAAACAACCUUUGUCCUAGAAGUAAAUGCAAUUAUUUACUUCUGUAGACUCGAAACUUUAUAUUUUACUUAACAUUCUCUAUUCUGCCUCCAUUUAUCUGGACUCAUAUUUGUAUCAAAUUUUUUAAAAAAUAUAUUAGGGUCUAGUGUUGGCUAAGAUACCUACUUGUAAGCGAUAAGAGUUCAGAUCCUAAUUUGAAGAUGGGAUGCCAAGGUAGUUUUUGUUAGGUUGUUUUGCUUGGAAGUCACCGCCCAUUGACUCAGUUUUAUUCAUUUCCUCAGCAAGAGGACAAUUAGGUAUUAAUUUGCCACACCUCUUAAUUGUCUGUGACUUACGACUUAGAGUUUGACUUUUUUCUCACAUAAGAAGCUGGAGGUAAAUGCUCAUGAUCUAGGUUCAUUGGUUCAGUAAUGUCAACCUUCAUCUCUCCUUCAGUGUGCCGUAACAGCUUCACUAGCAUUAAGCAUCUCAUCUCCAUUUAAUCCAGAAAGGGUGAAAAGAAGUAAGAAGGAGAUGCCAGCCAUAUGUAUCUCUCUGUAUUAGGGAAUCCAAGAGCUUUUCUAAAAUACCCCAGCAAACUUCCACCUACAUGUUUGUAACCUAAACCAAAUCCCUUGGCUACCUAUGGCUGAAAGGGAAUUUGAAUAGUUAGCUCAGCUGGCCUCUAAAAUAGAGAGAGCAAAGAAGGUGGUGGGGACUGGAUGCUAACAUAGCUGUACUGUUAUCUUUUCCAAGGACUGAUAUUGCCAGAGAUAGAGGCCUCACAGCUCAACUUGGAGUUUCAAGUCUGGAUUGUUCAAGUUCACAAUCAAUGUUCAGUGGAGCUUGGAUUUGUCAUGGGUCCCUGGUGACAAGCAUUGGUUACAUUGCUCUUUGAAGAAUCACCACACUGCUUUCCAUAACGGUUGAACUAAUCUACAGUCCCAUCAAUAGCAGGUAAGCAUUUCUUUUUCUCUGCAACCUCAGCAGCAUCUGUUAAUUUUUGACUUUUUAAUAACAGCCAU